AGAUAUAUACAUAUACUAUUUAAAAACAUGAUUUGGGCACAUGCCUAUGUGAGUUGCCUAUGUGCUUCACACAGCCAUGUGACAGCCUGUGUCUGAGACCGUGUAAGCCCAAAAAUGACUCAUUCCAUGAACAAGUUUUAUCUAUUUUCUUAGACAAAUAAAACAUUUUCAAACAUACAAUUUUAUAGGUCAUUAGACACCCUUAGUGGCAUCCAAAAUAUAUAAUAGAAUCAAUUCAAAUGCCUAACCAAGGUGCCAUCAUCGACACCUUAAUACUUCAUGAAAAAA
rnacentral:lncRNA from 1 species